CAGAGUUUAAUGUCUGGCGUGAAAAGCAGAAACAUCUAUAAAGGUGAAUAUUAAAGUCCUUCAGGAUGAAUUCAGAGUCAUAAAAAAAUGAGGAUAGAAAUGGUGCAGAAGUGACUUUCUUUUUUGAUCUGUCAUUGCAGACCACUUUGAGCUGUAAAUUUCUUGAUAAAUAUUUAAUAUUCAUUAUGCAAUUCCAUUUUGACAUGAAAAGUCCAGGGACAUGUGGUCCUAAUACAGCAAAAAAACAAAGUUCUAAAAGAAAGUUAAACUACUCCUGGUCCUGUGCAAUGUACUUAGUUUAUUCUUUCCAGAUUUCUGUAAUCAUUUUGCACUACUCGAGGUGCUGGAGAGACCCUGGGUUGGCUUUGGCUGGUGAUCCAGCAGAGCCGGAAUGUCAUGCUGGCAGCGACCCACUGAAGUCCCAGGGGAUGAGUCACUGGAGGGAGACUGGCGGGGACUGUGGCCCUUGCCACUCAUGGCAAACAUCACAUGAAAUGAGCUGCCAGCACUGGCGACAUCCCAGCUCCCCACCAUAGUCAUUUUAUACAAAAAGUAACUGGUGAGGAGUGGGUGUCUGGCUGUAAGCAGACUGCUGGGGUUCACACAAACCCGUCACUCAGACCCAUCCCCAUCAGUCAAGGCAUAAUUCUUGUCUUGAGGUGGAUCAGUUUGGCCUCUUUUGAUUCAAGCACCAAAACUGCAGCUGAAACAAAACAUCACCUUUCUCACGCUGUGCAGGUUACCAAAAAAGCCCCGCUUCCUUUACCCUGGUUUCUUUUGUUUGUACCAUAUCCUGCUAUCAUUAAGUUUCUGUUAGAGCAUAUCAGAUGCUGUUUCGGUGGGGGAUUCCCUUUCAGCCUUCACAGCAUCCUUGGUUUCUUGCUGUCUGCAGUCACCCUGCUGCUGUUGCACUAUGAGAAAAAAAAGUGUUUUGCCUAAAUAUUUGCAAACUUUCUGUGCCAUAACAAACCUUCUUGAGCUUUGACAGGCUGGACUGCUGAACUGAGGGUGGGGGAAAACCUGCGGGGCAAAGGUCUGUGUGAGCACUGAGCCAGCCCAGGGACUAUGGAAGGUGCUGCUGGGCAGAGGGGGAGGAGGGUGAGAGUCCUGCCAGGCUGAGAGAUGCUUUUGAAUGCUGCGGUUUCAUCUGAUAUGAUUUCAUAAAGCUAACAUUUAAGGGUCAGAUGAUGUGAUAUGCUGCCUUCAGACGUUGCAUAUACAAGCCCAGCCCACUGUUGAGACAAAAGUGGCUUUAAGCCCUGUCUAUCCAUCUAUCUUAUCCAUCUGUUUGCCUUUUGCCAGCUGGCAUGAAAGGUUCUUUUAUCUGAAACUAUUUCCAGCUAUUUCUCGUUUCAGAAACUCCAAAGUGUUUGCAUGACUUGAAAGAGCUAUUUCCAGCGUUUUUGGCUGGGCAGCAUUCUAGUUUCAGAUUUUACGACAGGUAUUUGAGCACAUUCCCUUGCUUUUGGAAGGGCUAUUACAGCAGCUCAUCUUUCAUAGGAAGGGUAUGUCUGCUGCUCAAAGUAUUUAUCAUUUUCUCAUGUUAUUUUCGAUACCUCUUUAGAAAUUGCAGCUUGGCAGCGUAUUACUUACGGCAGGCCAAGUCCAAAGCAUGAGCAGGGAAGGUUCCUGUGCGUGAUAGAUAGAGGUGCCAGAAAGCAAGUGGCGCCUUGGUGUGACUGCAUCUCUUUGGGACUCACUGGAACCUGGGAUUUGCAGAUUCUCCAUUUGAAAGUGCACAGAGGCCUCAAGGUGUGAAGCCUAGAGCUACUGCUUGGCUUAGUAAUGCCUAGGGAAUGGGAUGAAGCUUCCAGUGCUGGAGAGAGUAUCCUUUCACUGUUCUCGUGUGUCUGCCACUGAGACAGUGGUGGUUUUUAAUCCAGGUCAGUUAUUUUGAAAAGACAUCUUUGUUGCUGUUCUGCCCAGACAUAGCAAAGAACAUUACAGAUUGGGGAAAAAAAACAAACCAACAACAAAAAAAACCAACCAAACAACAACAAAAAAAAAACACAAAAAACCCCAACAACAACAAAAAAACAACAACAAAAUAACGCAGGGGUUUUUAGGUAGUGAUGCUGGUCUUGGAGCAUUCGAGUGAACAACACAUGUUGGGCAGUGAUGACUGAUACACUUCCUUAUGGCAAUACCCAAGCUAUUGUAUGUUCAGUUUUUCAGAAGUAGAUUUGACAUGUCUCAGUGGAAAGAACUGCAAUACGGAUUGUAUCUCACUUGUUUCAGGGAGCUUUGAAUAACAUGUGCUUCCCUUCAUACAGAAGAGCCUGAUUUUUCCACCUCCCUGAAUUAGUAGCCCCAUAAGGGAGCAAAUCCUGAUAAUUGUCCUGUGCCUCAUGGUUAUGCUGUAUGGAGGGAUGGUGGCAUAAAGCAGAGAACUUCGUCUACCUGCUGGAGAAGUGUCUGAAUCAAAGUUGAGGCUAUUGCCUGCUGUGGAUUGCCAGCUAGCUUAAAAAGAAAAUCUUUUUUUUGAGGUUUUUUUCUUCUUUUAAGAUUUAGCAAUUUGUGGCCAAAUCACAGGAUCUCGAGGGAGCAUUCUGGCUGAAAAAAAUGACUUCAGAAUUUGGCCUAACAUAACUUUAAGAUAAAAGCUUUUAUGUAAUCACUAAUUCACAGUCGCAGUUGCUUUGGCUUCUCUCAUUAUCAUUCCUAAGUUAUUUUUUUCAUGCUGGGAGUUGGAUUUUCCUGGCACUGCAUCUGUUUUCAGCAAUGUAUACACCACAACUGCUGACAACUAGGAGUCGGAUCCCAUGUUCCUCGACUCUGGCUGUAGCUUGUUUUUUCUGGCACUGCUUUAAAGUCUCCCAUCUGCACUUGUCUCCUGAUGACCACCGGCGGUCUUUCAGCUGCGUGAGAAAUGCCUGAUGUUAUCCUGUUGUUCUCGCACUCCUCCGGACCCAUUUCUUGGGCCAGGCUGUGAGCGCAGUGCUGCACCAGCUGUGCAGCCCUCACCAGUUCCUAGAUAGAGCCUUAUCGGGGCCGGCUGUGGCAGCACUCCCGUCCACUUCCAGCCCUCUCCUGUGGUUACUGGGAGGCUCAUUAGCUUUGUGCCUUUCAGCGUGGCAGCAGCAGCACUCUGCUACUUCUCUGGUUUUUCAGUCCUCUUUGUUUUUCUGUGAAAUACUCCCCUUUCCCCCGACCUCUGUUCCACCUAGGGUCUGUAGCAGAUGGCCUCUGCACCUUUCAGCAGAUGGGAGCCAGAGGGAGAGAUUUGUGUCCGUCUCUACCUGCUGCUCGUCUCCACUGGGCUAUUUUUUUCCAAGCCUGGUGCUGGUUGUCCCGUAUCUAGCUUACUCACAAGAUGCUGCUGUUCCUCUUGGCAGCAUUUUGAAUGAGUACAGCUGUUUUACGCUUGGAUUCCACUUGACUUGGCCUACCAAGAGUGUGACUUCUUAAGGGAUGUGUGCUCUUUGGUAACAAGCAGGUGUCCUUGCCCAGCUGGGAGGAUGGAUAUUUCUCUGAGCUUUCUCUGUAGUUUAAUGUGUGCAUGGUGUAGUUGAAAGAUUAGCAGUAUGGUCAUUCCUCCCCCACUGCUUGUCUGGGUUUGUUUAUUUUUGUUAUUCCUGUUCUAUUCAGUUUCAUUUGUUAUUUUUGGUUUUGUUUUCCAGGCCUCUUUCCUUUCCUUGCUUUUGCUCAGCUUAAAGGAAUCCUUUUUUUUUUUUUUUUUUUUUUUUUUUUUAGCUUUCUCAGUAUUGGGGGGAAAACUACUAUUACUGUUGAGUGCUUCAUGCCUCUUUAUCAUGCCUCACCAGACAGGGCAUGCAGGAGCUUGCAUGUGCAUGUUUCUUCCCUGUCCUCAUUCAGGUGUCAACUUACUUUCAUCUUCCUACACCUCCCAGCACAUAUCGAAGCUUUACCUGGCACUCGGGGUUUCCAUUACCUCCGUGCUACAGCUGACAUGAUGUAGCAGUCUUCAGCCAUUCCACUUUCUACUGUCAUCCACUGGCUGCCACCAGGAAAGCAACAUUACCCCAGGCUGGAAAAUUACUGGGAAUUACUCCCUCCUGGAGCCCUGCUCCCACUGGCAGCAGUACUUGUGGUUGGGCACGUAGUCCUCCCUCAGCCAGGAGGGGAGCAGCGUCCCAGCCUGGCUGUGUUUCAUGGAAAGCCAUUUUUCAGCUGAUCUCCUUUUCUGCCUGCCAGUGCCCUGCUGGUUUCCAUGGUAUUCGUGGUUGUAUAGGGGUGGCAAUUUCAGCAUCCUGGCAGCCUUCCAGGCUGCCUCUCCAUAAAACCCUGUGCAGUUUCAAACGUAUAUAUGUUUUUCUUAUUUCUUCUUCAUCCCACAGAGCUGCUGUGUGCUUUUAAGCAGUUAAUCUAUUCCAUCCUUCGCUUAUGUCACAGGCAUGGUGUGAGGAUGUCCCUGUUCUUGCUGGCAAGUUGCUUUGAGAUCCUCUGAUGAAAGGUUUGUUGUGAAGGUGAAGAAUGAUCAUAGCCAUGCAAUUGCUCUGAUUUCCAGGGGAUGGUUCAGAGCAUCCUACUGAAACACUAAGAAAGUCCCAAAGGUGAGAAGCUGAAUCUUGGAGCUGAACUUAAAUGGAACGGCACCCCCGUUCACUGCCAUCCUGUCAUGUAAGGGCUCCUUUCACGUUUUCAUCCACCCUCUGAGAGCUGCUGUGCCCUGGCAGGUUGGCAGCUGCUGCAGCACUGUCGGUGAGUGUGUGUGCUCCCAGCCCUGCUACACAUCUGUAAUGGCAGUGCAGAAAAACAUCAGAAAGUCUUUCUUGUUACAGACGGGGCCUAAUUCCUGUCAAUCCUCUGUUUUGUUUUGCUUAAAAAAACAAAACCAAAACAAACCAGGGCUCUGCUUUAAGCAACAGUUGGAGUGAGCCAAGAGCACAUCUGGCCUCAGCUUCACACAGGCUUUCAUAAUAGUCUUUAGCCAUAACAGUCUCAUUUUUUGGAAUAGUCAUUGCUGCUCUUCAGGUUGAAUGAACUCUGAUCAGGCUUGGACCUCUACACAUCAGGGUGAAAAAAUACCUUGCGUCUGAGCUGCAGGAGGCCAGAGAUGUUGAAGAGAGAGGGUGCUAUGUUUGGAUAUGCACAGUGGCCUCUGUUCCAUUUAAUUUGGGAAGGGUGAUUAAAUGGUGACCUUCUCCACUAAAGAUGACUGCUCUGUGAUCUGUGGCUUCAGCUGUUUUGGGCUCCAUUUCAUCUGAGGGUAAGAUACAUUUGGCAACACAGGCUAAUACCAGAUUGAAGGCCCCCAUUGUUGAAAUGGGUUUAAUGGCCAUGAGUUGAAGGAAUAUGCUCCCUGGUGUGCUAAAGGGAAAGGGGCUGCAAAUUGCGGCACUUACUAACUAUUGGUAUCUGUAGAAACCACAGGAGGAGAUAAUACAGUAGUAACAGCUGACCCUGGAAUUAUUUGUGCACAUGUUUGGCUCCAAAGCUUUCUGCCCAGCUGGCUGGAGGUCACUGUGAGCACUGAUAAGUAUUUGCCAAACGCCAAGAAGAAGACAGGACAAGGUCAGAAGCAAUUCUGGUAGCAAGGCAGAGCAUAUUUAGCAAACACCGCUAUCUCCCAAAUUGGGGUGAGAGAUUUCAUCAACAAAACACACAGGGGAGGUCUGAACGCUAGUGGAGGACACGAGCAAUCUGCUUUACAGCUUCUGGCGAAGCUGAGAGAAACAUGGGACUUGCUGUUUCCUUCUGAGGCGAGGAUUAUCUGCCAGCCUACCCGAGGGACCUGCUCCUGGGGGUGGGCACUGAGAAACUUUUGAGCCUUUUCCAGUUGCACCUGAGUGCAGCAAUGUCCGCAUGGUGAGUGGAGGGUUGGGGGUGUCUUCUGUCCCCCAAGAAACAUUGCUGCUAACCCUCCUGUCGCAUCAUUGUGUCUGUAUCUGUUGGGGCCGGGCUAAAGGAGCAGGGCAGCUGUGGGCUGGCGAGGAGAAGCCCAGCUCUGGCUCUGCAGCAGUUGCAGGUGCCUGCACUUGGUUAUCCGAAUGUGGGGACGUUUGAAGCAGGGCUGUGUGAUGGGCAGCCCCUUUGCUCAGCUCUGCCUCUGUCUUGUCGGGCAGGUGGGGAGCGCUGUCCCAGCGUGGUGCUGGUCAGGGGCGUGACCAAAACCACGGUGAGGGACCUGGGGAGGGUGGGCCAGGGAUCAGGGGAAGGAGAGGAGGCUAGAGUCUGCCUCAAGGGAGAAGGGGGUUUGUGGGCCGCUGGAGUGCGGAUUGCUCGGUGGCCAGAGGGAGCUAGGGGGAUGACUGAUGGGGCUGCCAGCAGGUCAUGUCUGUGUGCUGGCCUCUGCGGGGACCUGCUUCUUUGUCCAUCCUACACCCCCUGUUGCAUGCACUGAUCUUCAGCCCUUCCAGGCAGAUGGGUGCAGUGAAGGCUGCCUAUCCCAAGAUGUCUGAAAGAUUUCAGGUGUUCACCGUUGCUCCUUUGCCUUAACAUGAUUCCUUUUCAGGCACAGAUGGGAGAUCCCCUGGGGGAGGACUCCUGGGCAGACAGAUCAGGACCUUCUUAAGGCAAAAUUGUGGGCUUUUGACCUAUUCCCCAUACCUGUGGGAUUCCUCCUAUUGCUCUAUUCCCAUUUCCUUAUAGCUCUGGUGGGGACAGCAUCACCCGGCAACUCCAUUACUGUACAAAUAGCUGUCUCCCAGUAAAAUCAUAAGCCACAGGGUGGUUUGGUCACAGGUAUUAGAGGUCUGAGUUUUGCAUCCUCCUUUUUGUUAAAUCAGUAAAUGCAAAUUCCAACCUCUUUAACCCUCUCCUGUAACUUUUUCUCUCUUCCCUUCCCUCCCUGGCUCUUCUCUCUUCUGCCCACCACCUCCCUCCUCUUUCUGUUCAACAUUUAGUUCAGGGCCUGUGCUUCUGUAUGCCCUCACUUCAUACCCCUUCCAUUCUUCUGCUGCCACUGGGGAUGUGAGAGCUUCAGCAAAGUUAUCAGGGCAGAGGCUACAGGGUGGGUGGUUUUUCCUUAUGCUAAAUGCAACUUCUCCAAAGUUGAGGGGAUGGUUAAAAGUAAAUUAAUACAAAAAUGAAAGUGAAAAAAAUGCUGAAGAGGGGAAGUUCUGCUCAGACACUGAUUUUACUGAACUUGGUGAAGGCUAGAGGAAAGGAAGGGAGGGGAAAAGCGAUACGUAAAACAUCACAACUAUUUUGUGGCAAAUGUGGGGGGAAAUAAAAAAAAGGAAAAAUUCCUUCAAACUUAUGCAAUAUAAAGCACCUCACAUGGCAUUUCUUUCUGUGAGAUUGUCCUUCCUGCUUUUGAUGAGCUUUCAUCUAUAGAAAAACUACAAACUCUUUGCUAUGGAAACAGAGGGCAAUUUUUCCUUUAAAAGUCUCUGCUCACUUGUUCCUCCAUCCUCAUUUACAUCUGUGCCUUUUAAUCUGAAAUUGCAAGCAGAGGUAGAGGUUUCACAGAGUCCGAGGGCUGUCUGUGCCUGCUGAGCCACAUAUGUAAGUCUUGCACAGCCCAUUUUGUGCUCUGGAAAUGGCCUAUGGAAACCUGGUUCUCAUUUGUGAAUUGAAGUUUUUUAGGCCUCUGCAAUUUCAAAUGACUGUCAAUAGUGUGGGGUGAAGGGAGCGACUGUGCCCUCAAUGGCUGCUGCGUGCUGAACAACUUGAGGCUGAUGCCAGUGGCUGGAGCUGGUGGUCUGGUCCGUAUCACUUCAACAAGACGAUUCCUGAUGGAUUUUUCAGGGAAGCAGUUAGUUUGGUUUAUGUUUCUAAAUCGAUCUAUGAGAGGCAAGCAGGCCUUACAGAGAUACUGACUCAUUUCUUGAUCGGGAGGAACAUUCUUUGCAGAUAAAAAUAAGUUUCAAAAUUCUUAGGCAACAGAUGUCACGUUACAGGCAGAAGCAUACAGGAUAGAAAUCUCCUGUUUGAUACAGUAAAAGGUAAUACUUCUACUUUUAUCUUUGUCCAGGUGACGUUCUUGGAGCUGGCCGCAUGCAGGAGAGGAACGCUGAGCAGGCACUCCCAGAGCAGCACUUUCCUCUGGAAGUGAUGGCCCCGAGAGAGAUGGAACAUGAAGCAGCUCUGCUGUUGGGUUCAUAUUUGAGGCAUCCUUUCUCAUUGCAAAGGGGAACUGUUGUAUGAAGCCUGAGCAAAAGCUGUUCCCUCGACGCUGCUGCUGACUCCUUGAAAAGGAAACUGGGAGAGACCAAGGCAGCAAGCAGGGGCUGAGGGCUGCACUGCGGCUGCUGGAAGACAUGGAGAGAAGGCCAUGUGUGUCCUGUUACGCCAAAUGACUGGCCAAAACAGCAGCCUCAGAGGAGAACCACAGCUGCAAAGGAUCUCCCAAAGAAAGGAUGAAAAAAGGUAGGGGACAAAUGCAACCCUGACUGUGCCUUCAUCCCUCUCAGUCCUCCAGGCUGGGCAGGCAGCAAGGAGUAUGUCAGAGCCACUCGAGGGGUACGAUGGGUUCUCUGGGGAGUGGAGCAACACUGAGGCUUCACACCUCCACGGCCCGGUGUCACCCAGGGGCGAAUGGUGCCACUGCUGCCACCACUUAGAACAUUUGGAGUGUGGUUACAUAUACGGCUGAUUUGCCAUUAAUUUCGUCAUUUAAAAUAACGAGUAACAACUGCACUUUGUGGACACUGCUUCUCUCCUUUAGGUGAAUGUCUGAUGCUUGUCAAGCUGGCAUGAUGGAGUUCAAGGACAGCCAGCGAUGAGCACACACAGAGGCUGCUUUCUCCAUCCCUCUGCCAUGGCAAACUGAGUGCAGGUCCACCAAGGUUUUACCAGAGACUUUUUUUGUUCUCAAGGGACAUUUUUACUGGCUUUUUGCUAGAAGAUGCUUCUAGCAAGCUGAUUUUUAGGUCUAAUUGUCUGUGAGAAAUCAAAAGAGCAAAAAGGAAAAAGGUGGCUUUUGAAAACCAACCUGGUUUGCACUGCCAGCUAGCUCGUGUAGUGAGGGAUUAAAAAAACCCCAAACAACAGCAGCAAAAAAACCCAACCCCCAAACCAGAAGGAAAAAGGAAGGUAACAGUAGGAGGAGAGCGUGUUGGAGGUUCCAUGAGCUCUGUUCCCAGCCGCCUGUCAUGAGGGUGAGAAGGCUCGGGUCGCUCUCAGGAAUGAAGCCCUGCAGGUCUGUGGCGAUGACAUACCCCUCUGCUAUGGACCGGAAGAUGAUUCUGACAUAACUCAUUACAUUUCCAUUUCUGACUAAGUCCAUUGUUGGAUUUAAUGAACAAGUGAUGUUUUGAACUGAUAAACACCCUGCAGCAAAUUUCCCAUUUUAUGUUGUGAUGAACAAGCCAAGAGAUUGAGGCAAGCUGUAAAGGGCCUUUAACAUACAAUUUCAAACUUAAUUCAAAGUGGGAGGUGCUUCUCAGAGCUAGCUUGAAAGUUUCUCUCACCUCCACCCUCAAAAUGGAGAUAAAGUUUCCACAGACUAAGCAGUGUUAUCUCUAAAACAAGACAGGGACUGCUAGGAACAUUGUUGGUAGCUCAUUAUCGCAGGGAAGCAGAGUGUAUCAUGAAAUGUGAAAAUGUCUAUUAACUAUUUGACCGCUAAUCCUUUUAAGACACAAGAUGUUGCCUUUGUGUGUUUAUCCCACAGCAUGCAUCUUCUUCCUCCUUCUCCCUUAGCACCGAAAGGUUACCUGUUCCACACCCGCCUGCUUACGUUUCCAGGCUUGACCCUCGCAUCUUCAAUCAUGCAAUUAUGGGCUCCCCAUAGGAAGCCACUCGCUAUACCAAAACCAGGGAAUAGGAGACCUGCAUAAAAGAAAAGAAGUUUAAUAUUGAAAUAAAUCUUCCCAUGGACUGCCACAAAAGUAAUGCAAUUAAUUUUUGCAUUAAAUUAAUUAAAAGUCUCCUGUCAAAAGCUGCCACAAAACUCUUCCGAUGUAGGAUAAUGAAGCCAUGGACUGUCAUGAUGUCGUUGCAGAGCAUGGUUCACCUGGAGGUAGAUUACACAGCAACAUGGUAGAGUUAGAAAAACCCAGGGCUGCAAACAGUUACUAGUUCACACUCGCAAAUGUUUAUAUUUUUUUCAAAGGCUCAGUGGUUGGUGUUCUUUUCUGUGUUUCAGAGACAAAGAAAAAUUAAGUCAUAACAGCCUUGAGAUGGACUUUUAUGAGUCUAAAGGCCGAAAGUAAUGUCUGGCACAGAUUAUUUUACUUGACUAAAGGGGAAACGAAUUCCCUCUGAGGCAAGGAAUUUGAUUUACCGUUUCCUUAAGGCUGUUGGUAGAACUGCAAACAUGAGAGCCUGCUCUGGUAUAUGAUGCCACAGGAGCUUUUGCCAGUCUUGCGUCUUGGCAGGGCAGACUGACUGUCAGAAAGAACAGAAAGGAAUUGACUUUCCCCCACAAAGGACUUUUCUGGGGUUUCAGUCACAGCUUGGUGACUCUCUGUCCCUCUUUUGUGGAAUCUGUUUUCCCAAGAUGAAGCCAAGCCCUGGAGAAGGAGCAGAAACUGGCACUGAUUCAGACAAGGUGAAAGUGAUGCUGACAGGUUGUGGGAAGGCUCUGAAGGGCUUGGUGCCUUCUAUUCCCAAGGAAAUGUGUCCAUGAUGAAGAAAGGUACUUCUGGGUCCAGAUUGCUUCUGAAGUCCCUGGAGAAUUCACCAAUUUUCUUUCUGCAUAUCAUGUGCCCACAUCUCUGUAACUCUAUGGUCUUCCCACAGACACCCUUGCUAUUCUGACCUCUAACUCCACGGGGAUUUAUGGGGGUGUGUUAAUACCUCUGUGAUGGGAAAAUCUAUAUAAAACAAGUAACUGAAUACUUCCGAAGGUAAUGACGUCUGCGUGUGAUUACUUGUUGGGCUGCAUUGGCUGAAGCUUUAGCUGCUAACUCAGCAGACUGUAAGUAGACAGUAUUGUCUUUUCGGUUCGCUCUGGCUGCAAUUCAGAAUGUUAAUAAUAAUCUAGAGAGCUAUAUAAAGCUUGGAUCUUGGCUAUCAGAAACCACCUCUCUCCCCACGUACUGUUACAGGAAGCAAGACUGGGGAGAUGAUCUUGCUGACAGUUCCCUAAUUUAGCAAUGAGUGGCAGGCAUUUGUGGUGAAGACCUGUACCAAAUCCAUUAUUUAUUAAGCUAUUACUUCGGAUCCAGAAUGGGUGUAUUUAUUUCUAGGAAAGUCUGUGAACAUCUUGAUUGCUGUUCUAACAUAAGUUUAUGCAUCAGAGUCAGUGCUAUCGGGAUGCUUUGUUUUUAAAUUAGGAGUAAAAUAUCCCCUAAAAACUAAACAUUGGACUGUGUUAUUAUCCUCUUUCCCCAACACUUAUGACAGCACUGAGAGAACACUCUGGCCAAGCUGAUGGGCAGCCAAAUAUAGUUUAUGGCUUGUUUUAAACUGAUUUGUUGACUUCAUGAAAGGCCCUGUCAAAAAGAGUAGUCCCCUGAGUCCUAACAAUGAUAAGUUACAUUGCCUCAGCACUGAAAAACUCUUGGAUAAUUAUCCAGUGAACCUAUCCUGAGAAAUCUUUUUAAAGUGCCUGAACCUUGCAUUUUCUAAGAAGAAAUAGGGCUAAAACUAUUGUUUAGUAGUUCAUCUUGGUUUUCUUUAUCCUUUGUUCAUUUUAUUUUCCAUUGGAAUACUCUCUUGGAAGCAUGAAAAUAGUUUUCUGUAUUCCAGGUAAUUAAAAAUAAAGACGUGUGUUGUUUAAAGGAGA